GAUGAACGCUGGCGGCGUGCCUAAUACAUGCAAGUCGAGCGAACAGACGAGGAGCUUGCUCCUUUGACGUUAGCGGCGGACGGGUGAGUAACACGUGGGUAACCUACCUAUAAGACUGGGAUAACUUCGGGAAACCGGAGCUAAUACCGGAUAAUAUUUCGAACCGCAUGGUUCGAUAGUGAAAGAUGGCUUUGCUAUCACUUAUAGAUGGACCUGCGCCGUAUUAGCUAGUUGGUAAGGUAACGGCUUACCAAGGCAACGAUACGUAGCCGACCUGAGAGGGUGAUCGGCCACAAUGGAACUGAGACACGGUCCAGACUCCGACGGGAGGCAGCAGUAGGGAAUCUUCCGCAAUGGGCGAAAGCCUGACGGAGCAACGCCGCGUGAGUGAUGAAGGUCUUCGGAUCGUAAAACUCUGUUAUUAGGGAAGAAUAAACGUGUAAGUAACUGUGCACGUCUUGACGGUACCUAAUCAGAAAGCCACGGCUAACUACGU
rnacentral:rRNA from 1 species